CAAAUAGCUGGCUAGGGUUCCGGUCUGCCGCAGGCAGAUGACUGGUCCGAGAGCCGGCGACCUCGGUCGAGGUUACACGGCGGGACAAAAGCCCGGGAGAG
rnacentral:sRNA from 2 species